UCACACAGGGAAACUUAGAGUUUGAUCAUGGCUCAGGACGAACGCUGGCGGCGCGCUUAACACAUGCAAGUCGAGCGGUAAGGCUCCUUCGGGAGUACACGAGCGGCGAACGGGUGAGUAACACGUGAGCAAUCUGCCCUUCACAUCGGGAUAACCUCGGGAAACCGAAGCUAAUACCGGAUACGACCAUCGGUGGCAUCAUCUGAUGGUGGAAAGUUCCGGCGGUGAAGGAUGAGCUCGCGGCCUAUCAGCUUGUUGGUGGGGUAACGGCCCACCAAGGCGACGAUCCGUAGCUGGUCUGAGAGGACGAUCAGCCACACUGGGACUGAGACACGGCCCAGACUCCUACGGGAGG
rnacentral:rRNA from 1 species